AAAGUAUAAGGUUUUCCUAAUGGCAAAAAUGUAUUAGGUAAAACUUAUACUUUUCAUCAGAAGCCAGCGGAGUGAAAAAAAAACAUGGCGAUUAAGUCUUGUGGAGAUAAUUAUCUCGUGCGGUGGUUUAUAAGAUUAUGCUAAACAGCAGCCAUUGAAGAUGUGUAUGGACGAGGACAGGUUUUCGUACGGUUUGGAGGGAUUCAGCCAUGAAAACACUCAGUGGAUCUUGUACGAAACAGGGACGAGUAGGGCCACCGAAUCAGAACAGCAUUAGCUUUAGCUAUACGGCUAUAAGAAUCCAGCACACGUCUUUCGCAGCAUACCUAUUCCGUUAGAUGUUAUGCCACAAGUUUUCCGAGUCAUAUAAGAGUCUAAUGAGCUACCAAUAAGAAAAUCUAUUAAUGAAUAAAGGAAAGCCUUACGUUAUUUUGAUUCUAA